rnacentral:rRNA from 1 species
UACGUAGGGUGCGAGCGUUGUCCGGAAUUAUUGGGCGUAAAGAGCUCGUAGGCGGACUGUCACGUCUGCUGUGAAAAGCUAGGGCUUAACCCUGGCCUUGCAGUGGAUACGGGCAGACUAGAGGUAGGUAGGGGAUAAUGGAAUUCCCGGUGUAGCGGUGAAAUGCGCAGAUAUCGGGAGGAACACCGGUGGCGAAGGCGGUUCUCUGGGCCUUACCUGACGCUGAGGAGCGAAAGCGUGGGGAGCGAACAGG